AUUGAACGCUGGCGGCAGGCCUAACACAUGCAAGUCGGGCGGAUGAAGGGAGCUUGCUCCUGGAUUCAGCGGCGGACGGGUGAGUAAUGCCUAGGAAUCUGCCUGGUAGUGGGGGAUAACGUCCGGAAACGGGCGCUAAUACCGCAUACGUCCUGAGGGAGAAAGUGGGGGAUCUUCGGACCUCACGCUAUCAGAUGAGCCUAGGUCGGAUUAGCUAGUUGGUGGGGUAGAGGCCUACCAAGGCGACGAUCCGUAACUGGUCUGAGAGGAUGAUCAGUCACACUGGAACUGAGACACGGUCCAGACUCCUACGGGAGGCAGCAGUGGGGAAUAUUGGACAAUGGGCGAAAGCCUGAUCCAGCCAUGCCGCGUGUGUGAAGAAGGUCUUCGGAUUGUAAAGCACUUUAAGUUGGGAGGAAGGGCAGUAAGUUAAUACCUUGCUGUUUUGACGUUACCAACAGAAUAAGCACCGGCUAACUUCGUG
rnacentral:rRNA from 1 species